CUCUUAAGACAACUAUGUUGUCAUGUCAUGUAUGGUAGCUACUAGCUACAUUCUAGUUCUUAAUAUUCCUUGAUUAUUUUAGGAUUAGAAUGGAUGUCUUUUGAGGACUUGGCCAAGUAGGAUCUAUCAAAUCUGGAAGUUGGAUGAUCCGUGUUCCACAGUGAAGAAAUUGUAGGAUCAAUUAAAGCUAAAAUGGAGUAACUUAAUGAAUCUAGGAGAAUGAAUCAUUUGCUUCCGAGAAGAGUGAAAAGUUGUAGUCAUCUUUAGUCGUUUUAACUUAUUUAGGGACACUGUUUGCGGACGACUGGUGACUAAAUUUAUGACCACAAUAAAUCCCAACGAAUUUUUACUAACUUUUGGAGAAUGCAUGAUGUAAACCUACAUAUAUGCAGUCCUCAAACCUCCUCCUGUAAGCAUGAAUAUGCAUGUGACGAGGGUUGCCCUCUUUCUCUUCAAUAAUUAUUGCAUUUCCUUGCUAUGAAAACUUUUAUUUAAAGAUAUAGUCAAGUACUUAUAAGUGAUAGCAAAUACUUGUAUGAAGUUGCUUAAGACAAUUUAUGAGCAUGGAUUUUUGUCAAAAAAUGUUGUCAUUACACAAUUGAACACCUGUUUUUCCAUCAUGUUGACUCGGUAUUGCUCUUUUUCUGUAGAACCUUCCAAAUGCAUUGAUCUUCUGUUAUUUCACUUCUAUAUUUUGC
rnacentral:lncRNA from 1 species